AGUUGGGAGAGCGUCUGUAGCUUCCUUGUGUCUGGCCGACAGCUGCAGCCCAGGGAGCCAGAUGCAGAAACUGAAGAUGACCACUCUGUGACUGAAGGGCCUGCAGAUGAGGUCAUUCGACCACGGCCACAGGGGUCCUCACCUGUCUACGAAUACACGACUGAGGCUGCUGACUUUGGACUCCAGGAAGACGCUCCCGGCAGGCAAGGUUCGGCAGGGAGACGGAGGUCCUGGUGGAAGUGGGAUUCAGGGGACUCACGGACAUUUUUCAGGAUGAGUCGUCCAGAGGUGGUCCAUGCAGGAGGCAACAGAGGUGACGCUGAAGACAGAGGUGGAGGCGGGAGCCAGUGGCUACAGUGUCACAGGCGGUGGGGACAAGGGGAUCUUUGUCAAGCAAGUGCUGAAGGACUCCUCAGCUGCCAAGCUUUUCAACUUGAGAGAAGGGGAUCAGCUGCUCAGUGCAACCGUGUUCUUUGACAACAUAAAAUAUGAAGAUGCUCUCAAAAUCCUUCAGUACUCAGAGCCGUACAGGGUUCAGUUCAAAAUCAGACGGCAGCUCCCUGCUCCACAGGAUGAAGAGUGGGCCUCCAGCGAUGCCCAGCAUGGCCCACAGGGCAAGGAGAAGGAGGACACGGAUGUCGCUGAUGGACGCAGAGACACCCCCACGAAAACUCUGGAAGGAGAUGGGGACCAAGAGAGACUCAUCUCCAAACCCAGGGUGGGGAGGGGCAGGCAGACCCAGAGGCAGAGGCUCUCUUGGCCAAAAUUUCAAUCCAUAACGAGCAAGCGGGGGCCGGGACCCCAGAGGUCACACAGCUCGUCAGAGGCCUGCGAGCCCAGGGACGCACAUGACGUGUCCCCUACAAGCACAGACACAGAGGCCCAGCUCGCAGUGGAGCGCCAAGAGCAGAAGGCAGGGCCGGGCAGCCAGAGGAGGCGGAAGUUCCUCAACCUGAGAUUCAGGACAGGCUCGGGACAGGGCCCUUCAUCAACAGGAGAGCCAGGCAGGGGGUCCCAGAGAGGGGUGGGCCGUGCUGGGGUCCUGGAAGAGUUGGGGCCCUGGGGUGAUAGCCUUGAGGACACUGGGGCUGCCACAGGCAGCAGGAGAGAGGAGAGGGCAGAACAGGAUCGAGAAGUGACACAGUUGCCCACAGAGCUGGGUGACCCUAGAGCUUGUGAGGGAACCCCUGAGGAAGGGGGACUCAGGGCAGCCAGGUUCCACAGAAAGACCCUGGAGGGGCAGGCACAGGAGACAGCAGUGGCCCAGAGGAAGCCCAGGGCCCAGCCAACUCCUGGAAUGAGCUGGGAGGGUGAAGGUGAGGGACUGCAGAGCCUGGAAAUUGGGAUCGCCAGACUGUCCUUGAGAGACACAACCGAAGGAGGCACACAGAUCGGCCCACCCAAAAUUAGGGUGCGAGUACACGAUUUAAAGACACCAAAAUUUGCAUUUUCCACCGAAAAAGAGCCAGAAAGAGAAAGGCGCAUUAGUGCCCCACAGCGAGGGAAGAGACAGGACCUGUCCUCAAAAGUGGGUACUGGCCUGAAUGUUGAGGAGGUGGAAGGAGCAGGGUGGGAACCAGGCAGGGAGCCAGCCACAUACGCAGAAGCACAAGAGGGUGAAGGAGAUGGAGAAGGACUACAGAGGACAAGGAUCACCCAGGAACAGGACAAGGUCGGGGAAGACAGAGAAGGACAGAUAAGAAUGCCCAAGUUCAAGAUACCAUCCUUAGGAUGGUCGCCAAGCAAGCAGGCAAAGACAGGGAGAGAAAAAGCCACACAAGACACAGAGCAGGAAAGGGCAGGAGACGCCAUAGCAACGGCCGACAGAAGAGAACAGGGAGGCACUGAGGCAGGACUAAAAGAUAAGGAGGAUAGAGACUCAAUGACAAACGAAACAAAA